UACGUAGGGUGCGAGCGUUAAUCGGAAUUACUGGGCGUAAAGCGUGCGCAGGCGGUUUUGUAAGCCAGAUGUGAAAUCCCCGGGCUUAACCUGGGAAUGGCAUUUGGGACUGCAAGGCUGGAGUGUGGCAGAGGAGACUGGAAUUCCUGGUGUAGCAGUGAAAUGCGUAGAUAUCAGGAGGAAUACCGAUGGCGAAGGCAGGUCUCUGGGCCGACACUGACGCUCAUGCACGAAAGCGUGGGGAGCAAACAGG
rnacentral:rRNA from 1 species